rnacentral:rRNA from 1 species
AGAGUUUGAUCAUGGCUCAGAUUGAACGCUGGCGGCAUGCCUUACACAUGCAAGUCGAACGGCAGCGGGGGAAAGCUUGCUUUCCUGCCGGCGAGUGGCGAACGGGUGAGUAAUACAUCGGAACGUGCCCUGUAGUGGGGGAUAACUAGUCGAAAGAUUAGCUAAUACCGCAUACGACCUGAGGGUGAAAGUGGGGGACCGCAAGGCCUCAUGCUAUAGGAGCGGCCGAUGUCUGAUUAGCUAGUUGGUGGGGUAAAGGCCUACCAAGGCGACGAUCAGUAGCUGGUCUGAGAGGACGAUCAGCCACACUGGGACUGAGACACGGCCCAGACUCCUACGGGAGGCAGCAGUGGGGAAUUUUGGACAAUGGGCGAAAGCCUGAUCCAGCAAUGCCGCGUGUGUGAAGAAGGCCUUCGGGUUGUAAAGCACUUUUGUCCGGAAAGGAAUGGCUCUGGUUAAUAUCCCGGAGUUGAUGACGGUACCGGAAGAAUAAGGACCG